AAUAGCGAGGCUGCGAAGCGGCAAGAGGCGGGGCUGGUUUGGAGGGGCUGUCAAUCCACGUCAAAAGAGCGAACAGGCCCCGCUCAGGUAGGAAAAGGCGACGUGGUUGUAGAAAGUAAAAGAUGGCGGCUGUGGAUAUCGAGGCGGGCAGAAUGAGCAUAAAAGAAAAAGCAAAGCUGCAGUUAAGGAAGUUUGACAUUGGAGACAAAUUUUCCAACAUUCAAUUAGCAAAGGCCUCAGUUCUUAUCCCAUUGAUGGUCAAAGAUGGAAAGCUAUAUCUUCUUUUCACUCUUAGAUCAACGAAGUUGAGAACAUCACCAGGAGAAGUUUGUUUUCCAGGAGGUAGAAGUGACCCAACAGACACAGAUGAAAUUGCCACAGCUCUUCGAGAAGCUAAAGAAGAAGUGGGACUUCUUCCUGAACAGGUGGAAGUCAUCUGUAGACUUGUUCCUGGAAUAGAUAAAACUCAUUCUGUCGUAACUCCAGUUGUAGCCUUCAUAGAAGACACUUUUCAAGCCCAACCAAAUCCAGAGGAAGUCAGCCACGUUUUCUCAGUACCGCUGGAAUAUUUUAUACGCCCUGCGAAACACAGUGCUGUACCUUUGAGACCAAAGGGACACUCGCCAUAUUUGAUACAUUUCUUUGAAUACAAUGACCCAGAGCAUCAAAGAUCAUUUAUAGUGUGGGGACUUACUGCCCAUUUUGCAGCCUUUGUUGCUGUUGCAAUUUACGGGGAGAAACCCAUGUUUGAAAUUGAAUUUGACCCUGAUAAUUUGAAUUCUUCAGCUGAGAAAAACUUUAUGAUGCGCUACCAUGGCCUAAAAAGCAAACUUUGACAGGGAUUUGACUUGGUCAGUGAUGCUGCAGAAUUAAUCAUUCACUUGGAUCACACAUUUUAGCUGGCAAAUGCAGAUGUUUCCAGGAAGCCCACAAGGGGAGCCUGAUGAAGACCUUCAUUGAACCUUGAAUUUGUUUCCUUCUCAACCAAAUUUCAGUAGCUUCCUAAUUCGGAACAUAAAGCUAUUGUGGCUAAGAGACGUUGGUUAUUUUCGUUUUGUUUCUGUCUUAAUAAAAAUAGUGUGGGUAAAAAAAAUACUUAAGGAUGUACAUGGAAAUAUAGACCUACUGCUGGAUAGAUCUAGAUCUAUCUAUAGAAACUACUGAUAGAUAGAUAGGACAGAUGGUAUCUACUGUUCUAGGCCUCUUAUACCUUUCACUGGAGGUUUUCAAGAAGAGACUAGAUAGCCAUGUGUCCAGAGUGGUAUAGGACAGGGGUCUAACAAACUUGGCUCUUUUAAGACUUGUGGACUUCAACUCCCAGCAAAGAUGGCUGAGGAACUCUGGGAGUUGAAGUCCACAAGUCUUAAAAGAGCCAAGUUUGCAGACCCCUGGUAUAGGGCAAAGAGAUCCCUUUCAGCCUUAUUGUUCUAUGUUCCUUUCCCGCAUGGCAUUCUGGAGAUUUUAGAAUAGAAUAACAGAAUUGGAAGGGAUUUUGGAGGUCUUCUAGUCCAAUCUCCUGCUUAGGCAGGAAACCCUAACGCACUUCAGACAAAUGGUUAUCCAACCUCUUCUUAAAAACUUCCAGUGUUGGAGCAUUCACAACUUCUGGAGGCGAGUCGUUCCACUGAUUAAUUGUUCUAAGUGUCAGGAAAUUUCUCCUUAGUUCCAAGUUGCUUCUUUGGACUUUUCUGAAAGUCAGUUUUUUGAUCUGGUGUUCUGAAAGAAAAAAGGGGGACUAUUUUAGGACUGGACCAAGAUUACAAGUGUAUAUCCCACCCUUCUUCCAGAACAUGGAGAAUUGAGAAAGCAAACCCUAGUAAUUUCCCAUAAUAUCCUGGAGUAGCAGCAUGUGGGGAUUUUAAAAUGACAGAAUGGUAACUUAAACUGCCAAGUUCUCUCAACAUCAAUUCCGCACUGUUAGUUUUAAGGCACAUUAUUUGCUUAAUAUAUAUUUUAGUUGUUCAAUGCAUUUUAUUUGCUCGAGUCAGUAAAGAACGUAUCAUGUGCUGUGAACAGUUAUAGAGUCCUCUCUUUGCUGUGAAUUAUUUACACUUUGCCGCUUUUAAUUUUUUCCCCUGUUGCAAUCUGUUUGACCCUCCCUCCCUUUUUUUUGCCUGCUACGUUAUAAAUGAAGUCGUGUUCCAAUGAUCUUCAUUGCAUGUUGCUAUGGAGCUGGGUUUUGUUUUGAAUAAAAUUUUAAAAAUAGAAUAUGUCAUUUAAUCAUUAUAUUUUUCUAUUCAUUCAAGUUUUAUGAUUAUUAUUCAGGAAGUGAUUCUAGGUCUCUCUACAGAGAGUUGAAAGCCGCACAAUGCAAGUCAGAAAAUGAUGAUGAUGAUGAUGAUGAUGAAAAUCAGCUGUAAAAUAUGUAAAUUAUCCAUUAGUAAAGCAUUGUAUUGUCUGCAGAUAUGGGUCUGAAAUUAUAUAGAACAUGUUAAUUCUCUUGCACACAAAAAAGCGGUUUUCACUGUCAACUUGCUAGUAAUAUUCUCUCCAUUAUCUCAUAAAAUUAUUCACAUGAUUAUUAUUUUUUUUAGGAACCAGGGAAUUCAAAAUUAAUUAGUACAGAAUUGCCCUUGUUUACUUAUUCCAGUAAGCCAAAUUUUAACUAAGAUUGAGAUCAUUAUCCAGAUUCAUUGAUAGCAUUAAGCUACAUUGGCAAAGUGCAUGAAUACCAAAAACGAAUAAUGCAUAGAAUACUAUAAAAACAAUGAAUGGCUAGAUUUACAUACCACUCCAUGCGAGUAGGUUUUGAAUCACAGUUUGUAAAACAAACCUUAGUAGCCAAGUUAGCACAUACGGCUGAACACCAUUUAUCUUAUUAAAAUAAACAAGCCAAAAAGUAGCUUAAUUACAAUCCGCUAUUUUUAAGACCCUGGAAAAAGACAGAAGCUGAUCAGAUUUAGCUUUGAAAGUAUAGCUUUUCUAUCUUUAGUCAUUGUAAUACUAAAUAACACUAAUAUAAACGCUAAGAAAAUAGAAAUAUUAAAGGGAUUUUGUGUGUUUGUGUGUAUGUGUGUGUGUGUGUGUAAAACAAAGAGGGAAAUGACAGUAGUCUCAGCUGAACCUUAAGGACUUGGGAAAUAGUGAUGCUGGAUGUAAUCAACUCAACAUUCUUACAGCAUUAAAUUAAGUGAAAAUGCUGGACUAAUGCUUCUUACUACUGUUUGGAGACAGUAGUACAGGCUGUUUGUUUGUUUCAUGCUCAUCUUAUGCUAACCUUUUGGACUCCGGUAGAAGAAUAUGUGCAGGACUCCAGUCUCGUGGACUCAGUGGUAUUUCCUUCAUGAUGUUGUCAUGACAACUACAUCUCUUAAACCAUCGCAAUGUACAGCAUGCUCUUUUAGCAAGCAAGGAAAACACAGACAUUGGGUACCCAUCAAUCUAUAAUACAGGGAAGAAUGCAUGCUGCGGAUUUGAUUACUAUUUUAGUG